rnacentral:rRNA from 1 species
GACGGAGGAUGCAAGCGUUAUCCGGAUUCAUUGGGUUUAAAGGGAGCGUAGGUGGCCUUAUAAGUCAGUGGUGAAAUCUCUCGGCUUAACCGAGAAAUUGCCAUUGAUACUGUAGGGCUUGAGUAUAGUUGCCGUUGGCGGAAUAUGACAUGUAGUGGUGAAAUACAUAGAGAUGUCAUAGAACACCGAUUGCGAAGGCAGCUGACGAAACUAUAACUGACACUGAGGCUCGAAAGUGACGGGAUCAAACAGG